AGGACAAACGCUGGCGGCGUGCAUAAAACAUGCAAGUCGAACGGGCUUCAGUCCGCAAGGACUGAAGUGAGUGGCGAACGGCUGAGUAACACGUAGGUGACCUGCCCCGAAGUUUGGGAUAACACCUCGAAAGAGGUGCUAAUACCGGAUGUGACCACCGAUUCAUUUCGGUGCUUAAAGUCGCAAGACGCUUUGGGAGGGGCCUGCGGCGGAUUAGCUAGUUGGUGUGGUAACGGCACACCAAGGCUUCGAUCCGUAGCUGGUCUGAGAGGAUGGCCAGCCAGACUGGGACUGAGACACGGCCCAGACUCCUACGGGAGGCAGCAGUUAGGAAUUUGCGCAAUGGAGGAAACUCUGACGCAGCCACGCCGCGUGAGGGAUGAAGGCCUUCGGGUCGUAAACCUCUUUUCUCAGGAAGACACCCGACGUACCUGAGGAAUAAGCAACGGCUAACACGUGCCAGCAGCCGC
rnacentral:rRNA from 1 species